CCUACGGGAGGCAGCAGUGGGGGAUAUUGCACAAUGGGGGGAACCCUGAUGCAGCGACGCCGCGUGGGUGAAGGAGGAUUUCGGUAGGGAAAGCCCUAUCGGCAGGGAAGAAGGUAGACGGUACCGGACUAAGAAGCCCCGGCUAACUACGUGCCAGCAGCCGCGGUAAGACGGAGGGGGCAAGCGUUAUCCGGAUUCACGGGGUGGAAAGGGAGCGUAGACGGCCAGGCCAGCCUGGAGUGAAAGCCCGGGGCCCCACCCCGGGACUGCUCUGGGAACUGUCCGGCUGGAGUGCGGGAGGGGCAGGCGGCCUUCCUGGUGUAGCGGUGACCUGCGUAGAUAUCAGGAGGAACCCCGGCGGCGACGGCGGCCUGCUGGACCGCGCCUGCCGUUGCGGCUCGAACGCGUGGGGAGCGAACAGGAUUAGCUACCCCUGUAGUC
rnacentral:rRNA from 1 species